CUAAAGGCUCUUUUAAGAGCCACUACAUUUGCACAAGAGAGUUGAA
rfam:Ficedula albicollis isolate OC2 chromosome 1A, whole genome shotgun sequence.